UACAGGGGGUGCAAACGUUGCUCGGAAUCAUUGGGCGUAAGCGCACGUAGGCGGUUCGUUAUGUCGGAUGUGAAAGCCCUUGGCUUAACCGAGGAAGUGCAUCCGAAACUGGCGAGCUAGAGUACGAAAGAGGAUCGCGGAAUUCCCGGUGUAGAGGUGAAAUUCGUAGAUAUUGGGAAGAACACCGGUGGCGAAGGCGGCUCUCUGGUCCGGUACUGACACUCAAGUACGAAAGCGUGGGGAGCAAACAGG
rnacentral:rRNA from 1 species